rnacentral:rRNA from 1 species
UAAAAUAUUUAGUUCCCCAAUCUCUUGGGUCAACAAUUUUUAUCGCCUCAGCGAUUGCUUCGACAUACCUUAAUAAUUUACAAAUCCUAACAGUAAUUGCAAUAUGUCUUAAAUUAGGUGUAGCACCUUUUCAUUUUUGAUUCCCUCCGGUCAUAGCAAGACUUCAGCUAAUACCAGCCUUCAUCCUAUUAACUUGACAGAAAAUCGCUCCCAUUUUAGCCAUUACUUCUCUGAACUCACUCUUGGUCAAAUCCAUCAUACCAAUUGCAAUAAUCAGAGCCCUAUGAGGAGGCAUUGGAGGUUUAAACCAAACUGACAUUCGAUCCUUACUUACGUACUCUUCAAUUGGACAUACAGGGUGAAUACUAGCUAGCAUUAACAGAAAUUAUAUUAUUCUCAUUGCCUACCUAAUAACUUACAUUUUAAUUAACGCAUCAAUCUAUGCUUUCUUAAGCAAAGAACAUAUUAAAUCACACAAACAACUUUUUUCUUCCAAAGAACCCCUCAAAUACUUUAUUUUGUCCAUUACAAUCCUUUCAUUAGGUGGCUUACCACCACUCAUAGGCUUCAUUAUAAAACUAUUAGUCUUAAUAUUCACAAGAGCACAAGUUAUUAUUCUUUUUGGCUUGAUUGCAGGAGCGCUAGUAAGCUUAUACUAUUAUUUAUCAUUAACUUUCUCCACACUACUUAGAUUUAAUAAAAUACAUUUGACAAAAACUCAAAUAACCUCAAAACAAGCAGCUUUAUUUCUCCUAUCCCAAAUUCUUCCCCUAACACUAAUUCUUUUCUUCUUCUAAGUAGGGUAAGCUAAUUAUUAAGCUGUUGGGCUCAUAACCCAAAAAUAGAAACCUCUUCCUACUAACCUAUAAAAAAAUUUUUUAAAAGGGAUUUAAGUUAACAAAACUAAUAGCCUUCAAAGCUUUAAUUGAUCCAAAAUCAAUCCCUACAUACAAGCAAGAAACCAAAAGGUAUUAUGGUUUCGGCCCAUAACUAGGUGUAGAACUACACCCUCGCUUUAAAAUAUUUCAUUGACGUACAAGAUUAACUAUACCAAUUUAACUACAUAUGGUAGCUUACGCGAAUUGUGUUACAAGGACUAUUUUUGAUAAAUCUUUUAAAAAGCUUAUCUGUUAAUAAUAGCCCAAAACAUUUACCACAAUGUUUAUCACUUUCACAACACCAAUGUCCUAUAUUACAUUCGCUAGGAAACUAGGCCCUAGAAAAUAAGUAAAAGGGGUGGCAAAAAUGGUGCCAGCAGUCGCGGUUAUACCAGUACCCCAAGUUAAUUAAAACAAAUCGGAAUAAUUCUUAACCAAGAAAGACUACAAGAUUAACUUUUAAUGUAAAAAGUAAAUUAAAACUAAACCCAAUCCAGUCAUCACUUUAAUUAUUCCAACAAACCACAAUCUCAAAACUCGGAUUAGAUACCCGACUACUGUGUGGCCCAACCCAUAAAAGAAUACUACGAGCGAAAGCUUAAACCUCAAACAAUGUGGCGGUGCUUUACUCCUUAUCAGGGGAUCCUGUGGCUUAAUUCGAUAAUCCACGAAAAUCUUAGCUAUUCUUGUACUUCAGCUUGUGUAUGGCCGUUUAUGCUUGCUCAAAGAAGAAAAAAAAGGAAGCAAUAGAAUCACCCAUUCAACAAUUCAGGUGACAUACAGCCAAUGAAGAGCAGACUCAUGGGAUACAAAUAAAUACACUAACGAAUUUAAAUCUUCAAACUUUUAAUGAAGGAGGACUUGAAAGUAAGAUUUAACACUUAUACAAAAUAAAUCUGAACAAGAACUAAAGCGCGCACAAAUCGCCCGUCACUCCGACAAUAAAGUAGGAUAAGUCGUAACAUAGUAGGGGUAAUGGAAAUUGCCCCUAUCAAUA